CAGCUCGUGUCGUGAGAUGUUGGGUUAAGUCCCGCAACGAGCGCAACCCUUGCCUCCUGUUGCUAACGAGUAAAGUCGAGCACUCUGGAGAGACUGCCGGUGAUAAACCGGAGGAAGGUGGGGAUGACGUCAAGUCCUCAUGGCCUUUAUGCCCCGGGCUACACACGUGCUACAAUGGCUGGUACAAAGGGUCGCAAAGCCGCGAGGUGGAGCUAAUCCCAGAAAACCAGUCCCAGUUCGGAUUGCAGUCUGCAACUCGACUGCAUGAAGUUGGAAUCGCUAGUAAUCGCGGAUCAGCACGCCGCGGUGAAUACGUUCCCGGGCCUUGUACACACCGCUCGUCACAUCACGAAAGCCGGCUGUACUAGAAGUCGCUGCGCCGACCCCGCAAGGGGAGGCAGGCGCCCACGGUAUGGUCGGUGAUUGGGGUGAAGUCGUAACAAGGUAGCUGUAGGAGAACCUGCGGCUGGAUCACCUCCUUAAUCGGAUCCCGGGCCCGUCGACUUGGA
rnacentral:rRNA from 1 species